GACUUUUGUUCUCCCCUUUGUUCUUCCUCUCUCUGUCCGUGUCUACCUUCAUCUCUCAACACCCAUGUUUGUUUCAGACUCUCUGUCACUCUUCAUCUCUCGACGAUGCUGGGAUGAUAAUCUAGGGGAUGAUCAUGAUGUUCGUGCUUCCUAUCCAUCUCCAGACCAGAUAGAUCGAGCGGGAGAGAGAGAGAGAGAGAGAGAGCGAGAGGGAGACAGAGAGGGAGUAAAAGGGAGAGAGGGAGGGACAAACCAGAUCGUGAUCGACGAGCGUCGAGCUGCUGUUCGCGAACCUGAUUGACGAACCUGAGCGAGAGAUGACAACAAACUCCUCCUUCGCCACUGCUGUUCGACCUAGCUAGCCAAGUUUCCUUGGAAAGCAGUCAAAAGAACAAAGAAUAGCAAGGAACACCAAUACUAAUUGCAGCAAAGAAUGGUAUCAGUGAAAUGGUUAGCCAAAUCCUCAAUUAUCUUCCUGUGGCCAUAUAUGAUACAAUCCCAGAGGGAAAGAAUGUGAUGCUCCUAGCAUUGGAAAACAGGAAAAUUAUGGUUUAUAAGGAGUUGAUGCGUCCCAAUGUCACAAAAGAUUUGUUACACCACAAUGAUAAUGUCCGAAACAAUGCAUUGCAUCAUGCUGCAAUGGUCAAAAUUUAUCUGCCCUUGUUUGCACCAAAUGCUGUUCUUCGAAUGCAAUGGGAAAUCAAGUGGUACGAGAUAAACAAGUCAUACUCCAACAAUCAACAAAUUCAAAACUAAUAGAAAAAAUAUUCUAGUCAAUUCCUAAAAGCAUACAAUAUUAUGAAUGUAUGGGGUAAUUUGAGAUGUUUUAAAUAAGUGUACUUUUUGACUUUUUAUAUA